AGUGUGUGUGGGGGAGGGGAGCAGGUUAUAUAACUAGCUUCUCUGUCUCAGAAGGGAGAGAGGAUGUGGAAAGAGCAGAUGCGCUUGAUCUUUCCACUGAAAUGACAUGAUGGGAGCUAGAAGAAGCGCUGAAGCCUCAUGAAGGAGCUGAAGUCAGUGGGAGUUCUGUCCUGAGGAACGACUGCAAGAUUGGACUCUCUGAAAAUAUUGCUAGAGACAGGAAAACAUGGUUUCCUGUGACAAGGCAUUGCGGAAGGAGGUGGUGGACACUCUCGUAUGAAAAUGCAGAAUGAGGAAAGGCUAAGGAGGAAAAGCUUCAGGGAAAACCUCGUGGGUGCAGGAAGGGUCAGGACUGAGAAGAGAUUGAGCCUUCCAACACCCCACGGCGGCCGGCUUCUGUUCUGUAUAUGCUUGUAUCUCCACUCUAUGCAUACUUCCUAAUGUUGUAUGAACUGUGACUCACUUUAUACAGAUGGCCUACGGUCUUUAGGUAGAAAUCAGUUUGACUAUGGGUGAAAUGAACACCUUUUAGUUUUUACCAAACUGUCCAUCUCUCUAUUCCAUUUGUGGGGGUAAUCUUGGGAUACACUGAUACCCAGUCACCUGGUACGUGCAAAUCAGGUAGCUAAGCAUGUGUGUAAAUUAAGUGUGUGUAACUGCCGCACUUAACUGUAGAAGAACUGGUUCUUUUUAUGAAUUUUUCUCAAAUAAAAGGUCUCUCUUUUUUUAAAGAACAUUAAAUAUACAUUUCAAGUGUUUAUUACUUAGGCUGCAUGAAAAAAAUCCAUGUAGCUUGCAUGUUCCUAUGCCACUCAUUUGUGCAUGAUUCCCUCCCCCUUGUCUGUGAAUGUCCAUUGUAAAGCAUAACUGUGUAGGCUCAGCCCAAAAAGGAGCAAUUUGAUCUUUAGAAUUGUGGUUGCAGUAGCUUAAUCAUAAACACCAGUUACUGUAACAAUUGCUGAAGCCUUCCCCAGUUAUUUGCUCAGGCACUAUGUAUGUAACACACAGACACGUUCUGUUUAUUCCCCAAUUCUCUGUCAGACAAAGCACAAAUUUUAUGCAACUGUGAAAUUAAACACAUUAGGUCAAUAGUUUUAAAUGAAAUGGGGAGAAACAAAGAGCGAAACAAAAUGAGGACAGACAUGAAAAUAUGUAUAAAAUGGCCAAGGAGCUGUAACUUCACGAAACUGAUUUUAACAAGACAAUAGAUCCUGGCAGUGAUUUUUAAAUAGGGGAAAAUGAAAGUAGUUUUUCCAGUUUUCCCUGCUCUUAGUACAGUACUCCAAUAAUCCCGAGUGUGCUAACCCUCCAAAUGCAAGCAGGCCCACCUAAUAACAAGGUGUGGUAGGCUUGUAUAAUCCCAAGGCCUAAACAGACUGCACCAGACAGUCUCUUCAAGCUGUCACAUUUGUACAAUAUACCCAAGGGCAUAUCCCAAGGAAGUGGAGGCUGAUUGGGUAUCCCAUGCAUCCACAAUGUUGUGCAAGUCCCUUGGUAGUUCCCAGGGAAGGGGAAGGCUAUUGCCAUCAUGCCAGAAAUUGACAGGCAUGUCAGAAGCCAUUGCCCCUGGUAAGUGGUGGCUUUGGCAGUCUGUUUUUCUGUUGUUGGUUGUCCUGUGUUUCAUUCUCUCUUUGUUCCUACUCUGCCUCUAGUUUUU